GAUGAACGCUGGCGGUAUGCUUAACACAUGCAAGUCGAACGGACUCUUCGGAGUUAGUGGCGGACGGGUGAGUAACGCGUGAGAAUCUGGCUUUGGGUUCGGGACAACCACUGGAAACGGUGGCUAAUACCGGAUGUGCCGAGAGGUAAAAGAGAAAUUGCCUGAAGAUGAGCUCGCGUCUGAUUAGCUAGUUGGUGAGGUAAAGGCUCACCAAGGCAGCGAUCAGUAGCUGGUCUGAGAGGAUGACCAGCCACACUGGGACUGAGACACGGCCCAGACUCCUACGGGAGGCAGCAGUGGGGAAUUGUCCGCAAUGGGCGAACGCCUGACGGAGCAAUACCGCGUGAGGGAAGAAGGCUCUUGGGGUGUAAACCUCUUUUCUUAGGGAAGAACAAAAUGACGGUACCUAAGGAAUCAGCAUCGGCUAACUCCGUG
rnacentral:rRNA from 1 species